AUGAAUAGAAAUUUGGAAAUAGAUCUGUUUGACAGGCGGUGGAGGACUGAGAGAGGUGAGAGCAGGAGAGGGAGGUUUGAAUGCAUCAGCCAAGAAUUUCCCAUGUUUAUUAUUAAUGGCCUCUCUCUUAAAAAUGACACUUCCCCAUUUUCAUCAAGUCACCAUCUCCUUGGCUGUUUAUCACGUGUGUGUGUGUGUGUGUGUGUGUGUGUGUGUGUGUGUGUGCAUUUGUGUGUGUGUUUCACUUUCGAGCCCAAAAAAUCAUCAUAGCUAAAUGUAAAAAGGUCACAUUCACAUGGCCCUAAUGCUCUGAAGCACUAACCUAAAAAUAUUUGUGUAUUUGAAGUUCAGGGUCUUUUAAAGGCUUCAUUGAGGUGCCCAUUUUAAGGAUACGUGUUACAGUAGAAGUCUCUGACCUCGGAUCAGGCUUGUUUUGCUCCACAUUGCCACACUGCAUGUGUACAGAAAGAAGGCAACUGUUCUGAGGUCAGAAGAGAGGUGGUUUAUUGGAAGAGGGAUUAAUGGGAGUUGAGGACGAGGAAGAUGGAUGAGUAAGAGUGUUUUGAGGCAGUAGAGAUGCCUUGAAUGUACCUUUAGCGCCCUCUGUUGACCAAAUGGAGCUUGACUUCACAGUUCUGGCCAUCUCCCUUUCUUUCUCUCUUGCUGCCAGUGUUGUUAGAUCUGCCUAAUAGGUAUUAGAGAAGGUACAGAAAGCCUUUGACUGCAAGUUGUCUUUCUUGUUCAGGAUGUAAAUGGUCACGUGUUUUGAAGAUGAAAGGACACUGGUGUUGUGAACGCUAAAAUAUGCAGAAAGCAGUUUCCACUGUGUCUCUCUUGUCUGCUCUGCUGUGAGCUUUGUGAUUGGUGGAAUACAAAAUGAAAGGUCUGCCAAACCACUGUGGCCAGAGAGAAGAGAGCGAGAUAGCGAGAGAGAGAGAGAGAGAGAGAGAGAGAAAGAGGCGGAAAGCAGCUUGAUUCUCCAGAGCACAUAUCCUGGACCAAAUCCUCUGCGAUUUCAGUACUAGGCAAGUGGCAUUUCACUGGCUUAGAAACAUCCCUUCUCUCUCUCUCCCAGAGGUGUUUUCUCCAAGGAGGCAGGAGAGACAGUGGCUCAAAAAAGGGAAGAGAAAGUAAUCUAAUAUGAUUAAAUAAUAUAUAAAAAAAGUAAAUUAACUAAUUAUCAGGAAAAGUUUUAUUAAUUUCUCAAUUUCAAAUAUAGGCAGCAUUCCCUCUGCCUCUCGAGCUCAUACAGAGCAAUUUUGGCCGAUUGCCUAAUAAAUACUAGAAUUUCUGAUUCUGAUGAAUAACA
ensembl:lncRNA